rnacentral:rRNA from 1 species
UACGAAGGGGGCUAGCGUUGCUCGGAAUCACUGGGCGUAAAGGGUGCGUAGGCGGGUCUUUAAGUCAGGGGUGAAAUCCUGGAGCUCAACUCCAGAACUGCCUUUGAUACUGAGGAUCUGGAGUUCGGGAGAGGUGAGUGGAACUGCGAGUGUAGAGGUGAAAUUCGUAGAUAUUCGCAAGAACACCAGUGGCGAAGGCGGCUCACUGGCCCGAUACUGACGCUGAGGCACGAAAGCGUGGGGAGCAAACAGG